AGUAACGCGUGGGUAACCUGCCUCAUACAGAGGGAUAACAGCUAGAAAUGGCUGCUAAUACCGCAUAAGACCACAGUACUGCAUGGUACAGUGGUAAAAACUCCGGUGGUAUGAGAUGGACCCGCGUCUGAUUAGGUAGUUGGUGAGGUAACGGCCCACCAAGCCGACGAUCAGUAGCCGACCUGAGAGGGUGACCGGCCACAUUGGGACUGAGACACGGCCCAG
rnacentral:rRNA from 1 species